rnacentral:rRNA from 1 species
AGUGAACGUUGGCGGCGUGGAUUAGGCAUGCAAGUCGAGCGAGAACCGUAGCAAUACGGGGACAGCGGCGAAAGGGACAGUAAUGUGUAGGUACCUACCUCCGGGUUCGGGAUAGCUGCGGGAAACUGCAGGUAAUACCGAAUAACGUCUCCGGACCAAAGGUGUGAUUCCACCUGGAGAGGGGCCUGCAUCCUAUUAGCUAGUUGGGGAGGUAACGGCUCACCAAGGCGACGAUGGGUAGCGGGUGUGAGAGCACGACCCGCGUCAUUGGGACUGAGACACUGCCCAGACACCUACGGGUGGCUGCAGUCGAGGAUCUUCGGCAAUGGGCGCAAGCCUGACCGAGCGACGCCGCGUGCGGGAUGAAGGCCUUCGGGUUGUAAACCGCUGUCGUAGAGGAGGAAAUGCAGGGGGGUUCCCCCCUCUGUUUGACCUAUUCUAGGAGGAAGGACGGGCUAAGUUCGUGCCAGCCGCCGCAGUAACAC